GAAGCUGGCAAUUUUUUUUAUAUAUUUUUUAUUAUUAUUUUUUUUAAUCUCCAUGGUGCUGUUACAGAUAGAUUUAAAACUGCUUACAGGCCUACUGGCUGGGCUCUGUAAAAAGUGAGUACAGUAAAAUAUUGUUCUUUUUCCUCAUUAAAGCAUUAUGAGUCCAGUUUGACAUAAAAUCCAUAAAACAUAUGGAUUUGGGGAACUCUGAAUCAUUAAUAACACAAUGGCUUGUUUGUGAAGUAAAUAUAAGGGAAAGAUGAAGUGGAAAUUAAAUGUAAUUGAAAAGGAAGUGAAAUUUUAUAAACAUAAUAUCUCUUACCAGUAUGGUUUAGACUACUGGUUUAACUGUAAAUCAGAACAGAUUCGGAUCAUAUUUUAAUCCAGGUGAUUUUAAGUGCAGCUGAAAAUGAUUUUCUAACUUCCUGACUUUUUUUUUUUUUUUUUUUUUUUUUUUGAAUCAGCAGGCAGAUUAUCCUCAUUUUGGGGUCACAGCCUGUGUUUUGGCUGGUGACGACACAACAUUCAGGUCCCUGAGAGGACUGUGACCAUGAGCAGGGCCAUACAGGGAGCAGAGGUGGUAUGGGUGAAACCUCCAGGGCUUUGCUGUGUUCAUAUACAAGCACUGCUCAUUCUCCUAUCUAGGGUGAGGGGAAGCAAGUCCAAGCUUUGCUGUGUCACACAUGACACUGUGACAACAAAUCCCAGAGAGAUUCUUUUGGUCUUGUUUUGUUUUAAUCCUAUACUCUGCUGAGAGUUUGUAUAGUUGCUGUGAAAGAAGCAGCUGCUACAGGUCCCAGGCAACUUCUCAGCAUUUCUUGCCUCUGUCUAUAAGGCUGGAUAUGCUGGAAAUAGUUUGAAGCAGCUCACAUGCUGCUGAAGAAAAUCUGUAGAGUGAGUAUGUGAAGAAGGUACUGGCUGGUGGGGCCUGGAGGGCAGCCAGGAUUGAACACAAGGAAACUCUUUGGGUCCCUCUUUGUCCCACAUGACCAGAUCUUUCAUUUUCCCACACUACUUCCCCAUCCUGAUUCUGUGUUUUUGUGUAUCUUUCUGUAAUUUCUGGAAACAUGAUUUUUGUUGUUGUUGUUUGUUUUGUUUGUUUGUUUGUUUUACUGUUUUUCAUUACUUGGAUGUUGAAAGGUAAGCCUCCUCCCUUGUACAGAGAUUAACAAAAUGAAUCUUGGUACAGAAGAUGCCAUCUUCUCCUUUUCCCUUUUCUUAAUGAAAUUAUGCUUUCUGUAUAGACUGGAACCACAAAAUUGCACUGACAAUCUGUGGAGUGCUCUUUUCCUCUAGCACUGCUAACUGGGAAUGUAGAUAUUUCACAAGGACAUCUCAAUUUCUUUGAAGUAUUGAAAUAAUCUACCAAAACAUUAUAUAUAAAUAUAUAGAAGCAUUAUAUAUACAUAUGUAGAAGGAUAUUUUUAUCUGUUUUGUUUGGAGAGCUAUACUAGCUGUAGCUGGGUAGAUGGGUUUGUUGCUCAUACUAGUUUUUACACCGAUUCUUUCAUUCCAACACUUCUGAAAAGCACAAACAACUCUUCAUAUGUAUGUAUUGCAAAUUGCUUGACAACUGUUUAGUAAUGGCACUAAACUAAUUAAAUGACAGAUAAAUAAUUUCAUAGUGUAGACUGCAGACUGACAGCCUUGUAUUCAAGGCUAGCAAAGUUACAGAAGUAGCCAUAUCAUAUUUACAGAAUCCCUUACCAACAAUACAACAUUAAUCAUCAAAAUGAUGACAUCUGGCAUCCAUGCUUGUUUGGAUUUUGGGCAGCUCAUGAACAAGCACAGACAAUUACACCAAAUUGCACUGUUUGGUGUUGAAAAUAAGGAUUAUGCUGAGUCUCUCAAACUGAUAUUUGUCAAGGCUAUAAGGUGAAUUUAUACCAAAUCAUGAAAAUAAGUGAAAAUGUGACAUUUCUCUAGGUUAGUGAAAAAGCUGUU